rnacentral:rRNA from 1 species
UACGGAGGGUGCGAGCGUUGUCCGGAAUCACUGGGCGUAAAGGGCGCGUAGGCGGCUUCUCAAGCGUGUGGUGAAAGUCCGGGGCUCAACCCCGGAUCGGCCGUGCGGACUGGGGAGCUCGAGUUCUGUAGAGGCGGGUGGAAUUCCGGGUGUAGCGGUGGAAUGCGUAGAGAUCCGGAAGAACACCGGUGGCGAAGGCGGCCCGCUGGGCAGAGACUGACGCUGAUGCGCGACAGCGGGGGGAGCAAACAGG